rnacentral:lncRNA from 1 species
CAACUGGAAGGGCCGAGAAUAGCGAGCAGCUAGGCUGAUAUAGCCAUGGCGCCGCCUCCUGCCUCGGGGAGGAACUGAAUUCUGUCCAAGCAUACUUUAUUUUUAAGCUUGGUUGCUUUCUUAGUUCUUAAAACAAUGAUUGAGCGCCCACUAACUUCUGGGCAGUAUUUUGGUUGCUAAGGAGAGACCACCAAUCUAUCCCUGCCCUCAAGGAACUAAAGAGAAACUGAGAUAUGUUCAGCGGUGAAGACUCACAAACUUUCAGUGAGUGCUAAAGCUGUCUGCAGAGCUGUGGAGCUCGAAGGCCACUCUGAGGAAGAAAUGCAAGUGGCCGUCAGAAUGGUGGCUAUCAUCAAGAAACUAGAAGACACACAAUCCUUCGGCCCAGAAGGAGAGGACUUUAAGGCAAGGAAUGACGAAGAGAGGGUCGUGUGAUAGACAAGCAGAAGGAAGGCAGGAGGAGGGCACCGAGGAGAGAAAGGACUAAGGACACAGUUUAAGGACAUCCAUGUUUGGAAACGCCACAAUGUGUCCCAUCACACUGUAAGGACUUAAGAUGCCUUCUUUGAUCAUACACCAUUUAGGACAUGGAAGAUUUUCAGGACCUGAAUUCAGCUCUUGGCACCCACAUCAGGUGGCUGACCUGUAACUCCAGUACCAGGGGGAAUCCAACUCUCUUCUCUGGCCUCCAUGGGCAACUGUGCUCAUGUGCACAUACCGGUUGUCUUAUUUAACAUGGAACUUACCACGGCAGCUGGAUUGGAUGGCUAGCAUACUCUAGGGAUCCUACUGGGUCUGCUCCCUCAGCACUGAAGUAACAGGAAUACACCCUUUCUUCACUGGAUCUGAUUUCAAGCUUCUGGGAUUAUGGCUUGUGAACACCGCCUGAGUUUCUCAGCAGCGUUUGACCACGGGUGGCAAUGAUGCGUCUUCUUGGCUUGCAGAAUCCUUUGUCCAGCUCUGUAGUGUGCUAAGAGUGUGGAACCUUCCCUCCAAUGCAGAAGUGGGGAGCUAUUUUUUGACAGUUGUGCCAGUCUGCUCAAUUGAUGUCAGUGGAGCAUGGGUUGUCCUGAUGUCCUUCGUAUUCUGAUGUUAAUUCUGCUCCCUCAAAAGAGCUUGCCCCCAGUUCCCCGAAAGGAGCAGUCUAUCACAUCCAUCACUGUUCAUCCAUCAUCAUGGCUCGGCUCUCACAUACUCAGGUGAUCUCAUGGGAGUCUUCUCCCCAUUUAAACCAGUCAAUAAAGGCGGUGGAGGGAAAGGUGGAACUGGAGGUUUUACAGAUGGAAGGAGAGGGAAGAGGAGGAGAGGGGAAGAAGAAAGGACUGAAGAAGAGAAGAAGGAAGCCGUGAUGGACCAGAACCACAUGCUCAGCAAUAAGCCAUCGAAAUCUUUUUUCCCAACUUCUCUUUCUCCCCAAGAGGGCCACUUAGAGGAGCGUGAAGACAAGCGAAGUUCUACCAAGCACUAAAGAAAGCAUGGGAAAGAAAGAAACCUGUGGAUUGCGCUAUUGUUACCUCUAUGGACAAAAACCAGAGACAUGUAUGUAUGUGCACCAUGUGUACUCUGGUGUUGGCUAAGGUGUUAGAAGAAGACAUCCCAUCCACCCGGAUCUGGAGUUCCUGACAGUGGUUAGACAUCAGCCCUGCCAUUCCCUUUUCUGAUGUGACAGGGUCUGCUCCAGAUUGCUCUAACACAAAGACUCAAAAGCUCUCGUGACUGGAAACCAGAGGCAGGGACUACACCUCAGUCUGACUGCAUCCUGUUGCAGAUCAGACCCAUCUCUUCCUUCUGGGAGGAGGCCUAUCUGAAGCCUGACCACAUAUGUUCUGGCAUCAAGUCAUCCUGGCUAGCUUUCCGCACCAACCCCUAUGUGUGGUAACUGUCUGUUCCUGCAUGAAGUGAAUGGAGGUAAUGGAGUUCCGUUGAAGACAGUGCUACCCAAGUGAGCAUUCCAAAUCAUGUUUAAAGAGAGGUAAGAGAUGUGCUGCAGAGUCCAAAGAACAAGAUAGCUGUGGCUCAGAUGGCUUUACAUCUUUCAAGAACCAAGACCCCUGUCUGCUACAGCUCUGCUGUGCAAGCCCUGAGCACAACUGCAGCUUUCUCUGACACACCAUCCCACAGGGACUUUCUCACCUAUACAGUGUUCUCAUGUCAAAUAAGAUCAUUGUACAAGGUCUUUGUUACAUUGAAUCCUGAAUUUAUUCAGUUAUGUUAAGUGCAAUAAAAUACCUGGGUUUUGUACUUG